CUGGUGCCUAUCUCCAGCAGUCUAUGGGCGAGAGGCGGGGUACACCCUAGACAGGUUACCAGUCCAUCGCAGGGCAACUCAGUCCUUUGCAUGGCAACCCUGUCCAUCGCAGGGCAACCCAGUCCAUCACAGGGUGAAGGUUUUUGGACCAGAAUGGUGUCAGAGAUCUGCCUUAGGCUAUAUGUUGUUUUGUUUCCCUCACUGUUCAUGCCAUCACAACAUUUCCCGAGGGCAGGACUGAGCAGAGCGAACAGCGUAGUUGCCUGGCAGCGCAGCUGCACGUCUUUAGAACCUCAUCAGCUGGAGCUCAAAAGAAGCGGGAGGCUGAUCAGUCGAUGCCUAAGUGCCUGUCUAUGUGGUUGCCUGCCUGACAUGAACCGGAUUACUUCGGCCAAGAAUUGAAUCCCCGAAUCCUGAUAAACUGGUCAGAUCCAACCAUCUGGCUCCUCCCAAGGCUGGAAUCCGCUUAAGUCCUGGUUGCCCUCAGCCAACAAGCUUAAAAGGACUCCAAGUGCCCCGGCGAUCUCUGACUGAUUCCCUCCCGGCGGAACUCCGCACCAAAAUACAUGGCCGGAUAGGAAACUGGCAACAGUUUUAAAGAUGAAGUGCUGUCAACCAAAACUGGAAGCACCUGAUCAGAGUGAAUUAUAAGUUAUGAGAAGACUGAUCAACAAUGUGAAUAUUGAGUGUUUACAAUGUGUAACUGAUUAAUAUAAAGAACUGCCUGUAAUGUGGGAGUUCUGGGUUAUUAGUUUGCCAGUUCACUGGCUGUGACCAAUUCAAUUCAAUUCAAAUUCAAAAAUACUUUAUUAAUCCCAAAGGAAAAUUAAAUGUUGUUGUAGCUCAUUAUGUAGGUUUCUUCAAAGAGCCGUUGUAGAUGCUGCUGAAUUGAAUUGAACUGUUGCUGAUUAAAGUUUUGCCCUGUCUCUCUGACAUUGGGAUGGGCUAGAACUGACUGUGGACACGGUCAAGCAGAUAUGGAAAAUGAAUGAGUUAAAAAAGGAAAAAUCCCAGAGCAGUUAAGCACUCAAGGUUCCAUGAAGACAAACAAAAAAUAAC